GCCGUGUUCCCUCUCUGCCUUCAGCCUCUUUAUGAUGCUGCCUUGUGGCGUCUUGAUCAAGCAGCAUUGUACAGGGCUAUGAAGGCGUGGAGGAGCUUCUC